GGGCCCGUGGUCUAGCGGUAUGACGUCACCUUUACACGGUGAAGGUCCCCGGUUCGAAUCCGGGCGGGCCCA
rnacentral:tRNA from 1 species